AGGCUCUACGUGAUUGAGGUAUAAUGUCUACCACCCAUUUCCAUGGGACUUGAAGAGGAAAUUCAGUUCAGUCAUAGAACAGUUUUGCACACUCAUCCCACAACAUCUGUAGCUCCAGCUGAGAUCUCUCUAUGAGUUCCAGACUUCUAUCCAGGUUACAUUAGAUUUUUCUGUUUCAAGUUGAGCUUGCUCCAAAUGAAACCCAUCUCCUCACAUCUUCUCACGCUCCUCACUCCUCAGCUAAAACCCAUUCUUCUUCUUCUCUUCCCUGUUUUACUAAAUAUUAUCAACAUUCGUUCAGUUGUCUAGGACAGAAACCAGGGUGUUGUGUUGGGGGGUGUAGUUCAGAAAAUGCUAAAAAUUAAAAGCCAACUAAGGCAUCUCUAUCCUACUAUCACUCAUCUAUACUGGGGCUUCACUGGCGAUUUAGUUUAAAAAUUAGGCAUGCUUUUUAAAUGGUUUGAAAAAUCACUGUAGAAGAGGAUGCAGUAAAUGGAGCAAAAGAGACUAGAAACCCUUCGUACAAGUCAAAGCCACUGAAAAGCCUGGGGGCUGGGGUAGGGAAUUGGAGAGGUGAGUGUGACAGAGGUGAGUGGCCAAAGGGAGGCAGGUUCAGGAAAAGACCUUCGUUGGCUGUUUUGGUCUUCAUCCCAGUGUGUGUUCUGGGGGGAUGGGGAAGGACGAAGCCUGAGCCCCAUCAAGAAGGGCCCAAGGGGACUUCCCUGGUGGCACAGUGGAUAAGAAUCCUCCUGCCAAUGCAGGGGACACGGGUUCGAGCCCUGGUCCAGGAAGAUCCCACAUGCCGCGGAGCAACUAAGCCCGUGCGCCACAACUACUGAGCCUGCGCUCUAGAGCCCACGAGCCACAACUACUGAGCCCACAUGCCACAACUACUAAAGCCCGCGUGCCUAGAGCCCGUGCUCCGCAACAAGAGAAGCCACCGCAAUGAGAAGCCCGCGCACUGCAACGAAAAGCAGCCCCUGCUCGCUGCAACUAGAGAAAGCCCGCGCGCAGCAACAAAGACCAAAUGCAGCCAUAAAUAAAUAAAUAAAUAAAUAAAUUUAUGGAAAGAAACAAAAAAAAGAAGGGCCCAGGGAAUCAGAUUUCCUGCUGCUCCUUCCUGGACAAAGCUUACUGCUCUCCAUGGCUCUUCAGGAAUCCAAGGAGCCUGAUGUCUAUCAGGAGAAUUUUGAACCCACGUCCUACCUGGACUACUUCAAGAUGAACCAGGAUCCCCUGGGUGAUGAAGUCCUCCAUUUCCUGCUAAAGCACUACAAUAUCACUUUUAAACCAGGUGGGCUGGAAGGAAAACUCCUGGUUGAUCUCAGCUCUGGGCCCACCAUCUACAAGCUCCUCUCUGCCUGUGAGUCUUUCAAAGAGAUCAUUGCCAUCAGCUACCCAGACAGAACUGCCAACAGCUGGAGAAGUGGCUAAAGAAGACGCCAGGGGCGUUUGACUGGUCUCGGUGGUGAACUAUGUGCGUGAGCUUGAGGGGAACAGGGGCACCAGGAUUUUCUCUGGCCCAAGGAAUGUGACUGCAUCUGUGCGUGGUACUACAAACCUCCUGUGCCAUUCUCUGAAGGCUCUCUCUUCCCUCCCCUGCUGGCUGCAUGCAGAGAAUCCAGCGGAGGACCCUGAGGCCCUAGGAAAUGACAGAGCUACACAGUAGAAGCCUGACCAUCUGGAGUAGUACUCUGCCCUUGACCCCCACUACACUGGACCGU